ACCCGAAGGUGGUGCGCCAACCAGCAAUGGAGGCAGCCAACCACGGUAGGAUCAGUGACUGGGGUGAAGUCGUAACAAGGUAGCCGUAGGGGAACCUGCGGCUGGAUCACCUCCUUUCUAAGG
rnacentral:rRNA from 1 species